GUCAGGGGGCCCGAAGCGCAAGCUUUGGGCAACCGGCGAACGGGUGCGUAACACGUGAGCAACCUACCCAGGUGUGGGGGAUAGCCGUCCCAACGGACGGGUAAUACCGCAUACGCUCAACACGAGGCAUUUCGAGUUGAGGAAACCUUCGGGGCACCAUGAGGGGCUCGCGGCCUAUCAGCUUGUUGGCGAGGUAACGGCUCACCAAGGCUACGACGGGUAGCUGGUCUGAGAGGAUGGCCAGCCACAUUGGGACUGAGAGACGGCCCAGACUCCUACGGGAGGCAGCAGUGGGGAAUCUUGCGCAAUGGCCUAACGGCUGACGCAGCGACGCCGCGUGAGGGAUGACGCUCUUCGGAGUGUAAACCUCUUUUGCCUGGAACGAACUAUCAGCUUCAGCUGAUUUGACGGUACCGGGUGAAUAAGCACCGGCUAACUCCGUGCCAGCAGCCGCGGUAAUACGGGGGGUGCGAGCGUUGUCCGGAAUCACUGGGCGUAAAGGGCGCGUAGGUGGCGUGAUAAGGGUGUGGUGAAAGCCCGGGGCUCAACCCCGGGUCGGCCAUGCCGACUGUCAGGCUCGAGUACUGUAGGGGCAGGCGGAAUUCCGGGUGUAGCGGUGGAAUGCGUAGAGAUCCGGAGGAAGACCGGUGGCGAAGGCGGCCUGCUGGGCAGUUACUGACACUGAGGCGCGACAGCGUGGGGAGCAAACAGGAUUAGAUACCCUGGUAGAAUCACU
rnacentral:rRNA from 1 species